rnacentral:lncRNA from 1 species
CCCGAACCAAGUGCAACGGACCACACAUAUUUCACCAAAUUAAACUUCGGUAUGAUCCAUGCAGCUAACAAUAUUCCCCAUUUCAUGUAAUUCAAGGAUAGACUACACUCCUAAUGAGAAUACAUAAUUCAUAUUUGUACAUUCAGUUUAAAAAACAACCAGAGGUCAGGGAUUCUCUGAGGAUUUGCACACAAUGUAGAUAAUCGACACAUUUCUACCCAAUUAACAAUUGCCGGUAGAUCCAUUUAUACAUUUUAUUGGUUUCUGAUUGUGGCAGAUGAUUUAAUUCACAUUACAGAAAUGAUUUGCUUUAAUACAUGUUCUUACAUUGGCUUACAUUGGAGAUGACAGUAGUUGCAAAUGCAAAGGGAAAAUACAUAUAACAGCAAAAUUACCUUGUAAUUAUUACAAAGAUUGAGGGAGAAAUUGAGGUGGAUUUCAAGAGCGAUGAAAAGGACAUGACAGGAGACACAGAGAGCAAUCCAGAGGCCACUUUGCCAGGGGCAGGUGAUCCAGGGGCAGCUGCUCCAGGGACCAGACUGCCAGGGACUGAUGGGGCGACUGGAGGACCUAAUAAGGCAACUAGAAAAGGAAAAAUUAAUGAGAAGGAGAGCAGAGAGGGCUAUUGCAAAACAAAAAAGAAUCAAUUUGGCACCAAGAAAGAGAAACAAUUCAGUCAACAAGAAGUUAAAACGAAAAAGCCAUACAGGUUAAAUUCACCGCCCAUCAUAAUCAGCAUUGUUGAAGCGGCGGCAUCUGUAGGGCUUCAUGUGCUGAACAUCACCCUUUCCAGGAUAUAAUUAAACAAACGCACUGUUAUUUCUACUAGCUAUCGCAUCAUAAAACCCGUCCUUAAAUCAACCUAAAUGAUCCUAGUAAUCCAACAUAAAUAAACUAAAUAAAAGUUAGAUUCACUAAUGAACUUCGUAAUUGUUGGUGUAGAUACCUUCACAUGUCGAAGUCGAGCUCACAAAUCAGCAGGCAAUCGGUCGUCUACCAAGAUAAAAAUAUAUAUAAUUACGCUGUGCAUAUACAAAUAAAUGUCAGUAUAUGCAUCAUAAAAGGACCUCUAAUACAAUAGACAGUUGACAAUUCAAAAGAGGUAGCUAUUUAAUCAAUUUACCCCUGGAGAUACCUUCACAGAUGGCGAAGUUGAG